rnacentral:tRNA from 1 species
ACAUUGGUGACCCAGUGGUAGAAUUCUUGCCUUCUUUGCAAGAGACCCAGGUUUGAUUCCCAGCCGAUGUA